rnacentral:rRNA from 1 species
AUGGCCAGCGGCAACAUUUACAUCUCCAUCAUCGGAGAUGUCGUGGCCAAGGUUACCAAGUGCUUCAUCGCCGACGGCGCUGGCGAUGCCGUCCUCAACGAGCUGCAGUCUCUCUGGGAGACGAAGUUGCUGCACUGUGGCGCAAUCUCAGGGAACACCGACCGCAACAGGGCUCCCCCAGCGUCCGCUUCACCCGUGCGCGACCUCAACGUGCCCUACGAGGCCACGUCCGAGGAGUACGCCACCCCAACCGCCGACAUGCUCUUCCCACCGACGCCGAUCCAGACACCACUUCCAGCUGGGAUUGAUACGGGGCCGUGGGACUAUGCCCCAUCGCCGAUCGGUGACAUGAGAAACGGGAUGGGGAUGAUGAACGGGGCUGAUCCAGAAACUGGCCGCCCAAGCCCUUUCAUGCAACCUCCAUCGCCCUGGAUGAAUCAGAGACCACUGGGGGCUAAUGUGAACCUUGCUUUUGCUUAUGAUGAGGAGAUCCGGACGAUGGUGCAACCCCAGCCACUGACGACUAAGGAUUUUCUCGUGAUGUCUUGUGGAAAACGGACGAGGGAUGAAUAUCCUUCGGCUGCUUCAUUUGUGCCACAACAGGAUGGAUGUGCAGACCAGGUUGCGGGUGGUGUUGAUGAUGAAGAACCUCCUCUUAAUGAAGAUGACGACGACGUAGAUGACUUUGAUGACACGCAGCACCUUGUCCUGGCACAGUUUGACAAGAUAACAAGGACAAAGAAUCGCUGGAGGUGCACUUUGAAGGAUGGAAUCAUGCAUUUGAACGGCAGAGAUGUUCUAUUCAGCAAGGCUUCAGGAGAGUUUGAUUUUUGA